rnacentral:rRNA from 1 species
UACGUAGGGGGCAAGCGUUGUCCGGAUUUAUUGGGCGUAAAGCGCGUGUAGGCGGCUAUGCAGGUCCGCUGUGAAAACUCGAGGCUCAACCUCGAGACGUCGGUGGAAACCGCAUGGCUAGAGUCCGGAAGAGGAGAGUGGAAUUCCCGGUGUAGCGGUGAAAUGCGCAGAUAUCGGGAAGAACACCCGUGGCGAAGGCGGCUUCCUGGACUAAUACUGACGCUGAGGUGCGAAAGCGUGGGGAGCAAACAGG